UGGGGAAUUUUGGACAAUGGGCGAAAGCCUGAUCCAGCCAUGCCGCGUGAGCGAAGAAGGCCUUCGGGUUGUAAAGCUCUUUUAGUCGGAAAGAAAGAGUCGCAAUGAAUAAUUGUGAUUUAUGACGGUACCGACAGAAAAAGCACCGGCUAACUACGUGCCAGCAGCCGCGGUAAUACGUAGGGUGCGAGCGUUAAUCGGAAUUACUGGGCGUAAAGGGUGCGCAGGCGGUUUUGCAAGUCAGAUGUGAAAGCCCCGGGCUUAACCUGGGAAUUGCGUUUGAAACUACAAGACUAGAGUGCAGCAGAGGGGAGUGGAAUUCCAUGUGUAGCAGUGAAAUGCGUAGAGAUGUGGAAGAACACCGAUGGCGAAGGCAGCUCCCUGGGUUGACACUGACGCUCAUGCACGAAAGCGUGGGGAGCAAACA
rnacentral:rRNA from 1 species